CAGCAAUGAUAAGAGGAGUAUCUCCGUUAUCAUCCCGCAGGUUGACAAUGCAGCGGGCGCUGAGUAACAGCUCAGCCAGCUGUCAUGCAAGAUGGUUGAGAUCAGCUGCACCACCUUGACAUUGGAUCGCGAGACAGCCACAAUGAGAGCAGUGCGAUCAGAGCUGUCCAGGGAGUCAAUCUUUGCUCCAUGACACAGUAACAAUUCCACAAUCAGAGUGAUGACCUCCACCAAACCUCGCUGCACUGCAAGAUGGAGCGCUGUCAUGUGCUCAGCAUCUGGGGUGUCUACACGGACUCCUGAAAUAACACAUAUUCUGCACCUGCCCAUCUUAGAGUUAACUUUCAUUAACAA